UACGGGGGGAGCAAGCGUUGUUCGGAUUUACUGGGCGUAAAGGGCGCGUAGGCGGCCACCGCAGGUCGAUUGUGAAAUCUCCGGGCUUAACCCGGAAAGGUCAACCGAUACUGCGGGGCUAGAGUGCAGAAGGGGCAACUGGAAUUCUCGGUGUAGCGGUGAAAUGCGUAGAUAUCGAGAGGAACACCUGCGGCGAAGGCGGGUUGCUGGGCUGACACUGACGCUGAGGCGCGAAAGCUAGGGGAGCGAACGGG
rnacentral:rRNA from 1 species